rnacentral:misc_RNA from 1 species
AAGUCGUAACAAGGUAACCGUAGGUGAACCUGCGGUUGGAUCAUUAACGAAAAUAUCUUGAUCGGACGUGGACGUGUCGGUCCUUCUGGACCCGCACGACCUCGUCUACAUCAACCAACCCCACUUUUAUUUUUUUUUUCCUGUUUUUUCACAUUGUUUUUGAACUCGGAGGUCUGCCGACAUCUCGCGAUGUGGGUGUUCCGACGUGUGAUACUGAAAGAACAAUAAACAACUUUUGGCAACGGAUCUCUUGGCUCUC